rnacentral:lncRNA from 1 species
UGGAGAUCUGUGAAAUCCACUGGCCAUUAGGGCAGAGAAGAGGGGGCGGCUGCAGCAGGCGGUCUGGGCAGGGUUGUGGGCAGGAUUUGGGGGUUGGAUUUGGAGGAGAGGUAGGGAAGUGAAAAUCCGCAGUUCGGCUGUCUGCCCCACCGGCCUUUAAGGGGCCUGUAUGUUCUCGAGGAAUGCCUGCUGGAGUGGGAGGCUGGGAUAAUGGGAAGAAGAUGGCGGAAAGAAAGAUUGGAGGAGGAGGUCUACAUGAUCCUUUGGAGAUCCCGGGGUCAGAGAGGACGGGGAGACCGGAACAGGUAUGUUCCUGUUAUUCCUGAAGAAAAACCACAUGACCAUCUCACUAGAUGCUGAAAAAGCCUUUGACAAAAUCCAACACCCUUUCAUGAUAAAGGUCUUGGAGAAAUCAAGGAUAACAGGAACAUACCUCUGAAACU